GCCGAGGUGGUGAAAUUGGCAGACACGCUGCGUUCAGGUCGCAGUGCUCGCAAGGGCUUGCGGGUUCGAGUCCCGCCCUCGGCACCA
rnacentral:tRNA from 1 species